GUUACCAAGUAGGGUUUUAUGCUAAUAAUUACUAUGAGUAAUCACCAAUAGUGUCCACUGCCUUUAACAUCUGUUAGGUCAAACUUAAUACAAACGAGAUUUCGUUCUUAAACAGGGUGACAUGUUAAAGGUCAGUGCACUGAGGUAGAAAAUGCAACAAGAUUGUUUGAAACCCAUCUAUGCACAAAUGUUCUUUCCAAUUCGGGUUAUUUUUUCAUAUUUGCCUCUAAUUUUGUAUCCAAAUUGGUUUCUUUACUAUGUAUGUGUAGAAAAUCUGUUAUAGAAGUGUCUGAUGCGAUUUUAGGAUAUUAUUCUCCAAAGCUUACUACCCUUGGAAUAUUCAGGGCUGAGUUUCAUAAAUCUCUUAGCAAAUAUCUUAAUUAAGCAAAAUAUGAGUGAGGCACUUGUCGCAACUGUGUUAACUUUAUGGAAUUUUGGCUGGUAACCUGUUUAUACUAAGCAAGAGUUGUCAGUGCUAAGCCAAUGUGUUUUGUGCUUAAUACUUGUUUUCAAUGAGUUGUUAAGCUGAAAAUACUGCUCAGCGAAUUUCUUUUCUAAGCAAAAGAUGAGUGAAGCAGCAGGUUAUCUGUGUCUGCUUAGCAAGGUUUAUUUGAGCUAAGCAGAUUUUUGUGCUUACAGGGUAGAUACAAUUUGGCCCAGGUUGGGGUUGGAGUGGGAUGGGAAACCUGUAUGUGCACUUGGAUGAGCUUAUCUCAGGCAUGCAACUUAAAAAGGUGAUCAGAUGAUUUCCUUUGUAUUAAAAAAAAAAAAAAAAACAGCGCUGUGAGAAACUGAAAACUAGUAUCAAAUAUGGAUCAACGGUUUGAUAACAAUGAAUUAAGUUAUUUACCAAUUGAAUUAAUUCUGCAACGCUCCAAAUUUUUGCAGUACUUAAAAAAACAAAACUGCCCGACGUCAAAAAAAAAAAGAGUUUGAUUUGAACGGAAAAAAA